rnacentral:rRNA from 1 species
GACGAACGCUGGCGGCGUGCUUAACACAUGCAAGUCGAACGAUGAACCCGGAGCUUGCUCUGGGGGAUUAGUGGCGAACGGGUGAGUAACACGUGAGUAACCUGCCCUGGACUCUGGGAUAAGCGUUGGAAACGACGUCUAAUACCGGAUAGGACCUUGGAUCGCAUGAUCUGGGGGGGAAAGUUUUUUCGGUCUGGGAUGGACUCGCGGCCUAUCAGCUUGUUGGUGAGGUAAUGGCUCACCAAGGCGUCGACGGGUAGCCGGCCUGAGAGGGUGACCGGCCACACUGGGACUGAGACACGGCCCAGACUCCUACGGGAGGCAGCAGUGGGGAAUAUUGCACAAUGGGCGAAAGCCUGAUGCAGCAACGCCGCGUGCGGGAUGACGGCCUUCGGGUUGUAAACCGCUUUUAGUAGGGAAGAAGGGCUUCGGCUUGACGGUACCUGCAGAAAAAGGACCGGCUAACUACGUG